UUUUUCUUUUUUUCCCUUGAGAUACCUUGUUCUAGACUUGAUAUAUUUAUACAACCAUUAAAAAAAUUAUAGAAGUGGUUAAUUCCAUACAAAUUUCAAUAACUUUCUCCAUGAGGUUCCAUGUCCAUAAUCCACCAUCUAAUUUGUUUCCUCUUUCCUUCAACGUGGCUGCCAUUUGGUUGUUUUGAGAGAAAUUGAUACCAAUCUACAAAUUGAGGGUCGAAUUAGAACAAUCAUUUGAAUACUUAAAAAUCCCAAAUUCCGAAGUUGAUGACAAACUGCGGCUCAAUCUGCCCUCCUCGUUCACGAUGUAGGUCUUCUCUUCGGCGCCAUGUUUAGACUAGAGAGCGGAUGAUGUACUUCGCCACUGCGGCUUGGCAUUGAUUGGAGCCCUCCCCCUCGGAAUUGGAGGAAGUGAUAGAGGAAUGGAUGAUAAAGCUGCUCUCUGACAUUGGUACGUAAAUAAGCACCGCAGUGGCAUCCUUUCUCGAGUCAGAACCUGCUGCUAAGUUUUCUGUCUGCUAGUCGGAAGUGUAAACCACACAUUCAUUUUCUGUAUGCUCAAUGGAAAUGGGGAACUUGAAUAAUUAAUUGGUAGUAAUUCUUAAUAUAUUUGCUUAAAAUCUGCUUUCCCUGAAGUCCAAUAUUUUGUUGCACUACUUCUUGUUAUAUGGCCUAACAUAUUUUCCAGCAUUCUUAGAUGAAAAUGCACCAAUUUCAGAACCAAAUCCAGCUUACGUAGUGCAGUUUCUUCUGUUUAAUCGUUCUUACCUUCAAUCUCAUCUUUUGCUGCUGGUAGUUCCUUGGUCACAUCUGAUAAUGGUAGCAGUAUGAGAUAUGAGACAUUUGAUCCUGGAACACCAUGGUUUGUGAAGGAUGACAAUUCCAUAUUCACCGUUGAGGACUCGGAAGCAUAGCAGAACCCUAAUGAGUUCCACUCGAAAGUGCCUGACGCAUGGUACAUUCAACACUGAUGAGGUAUAUUAACUAUGUCACAAAGUACCAUCGAGUAGUUGAAGGCUUUACAUGGCGUAAAGUUCAUGUCAGAUAUCCCAACAAUAUUUUGAAGGUUUGUUACGGUGGAAGCACUUAUUACACGCUUUCAUCUAUAGCUACAAAGGAGUUAAACUUUUCUCAGAGCAAAGAGAAUUGAUUAUGGUAGUAAGUUCUCUUCUAGUGUGAAGUGUCCGGGAGCUGGUGGGAUUUCCAUAUUCAAUAAGGGAAAUCACAGAAGCCACUAAAAAAACAUGGCCAUACUGAGUUGCAGUUUUCUGAUAAUAUGAAACUAAUUCUUCCAGUAGAUUAUGAACGGAGUUUGAAUAAUACUCCAUAAAAAUUUUGAUAAUAUAGAUAUACACUCUUCAGAUUAUUUGAAAGUAGAAAUUGUAAAUGCCAAGCUGAAGAAAUAAAGAAACCUACAGCAGGCUGUUUUGGCGGAGAGGGAAAUGAUCACACAUUUGGAACCUGGAGGAAUUCCGCCAUGGAAAUGGAGUUGAAUUUGAAGCACAAAGAGGUUAAUCUUAACAGUCUGAUUUCUUUUGUUUCUGUUCUUACAUCUAUUAGCUGUGUUGGUUGGGAUGAACAGUCAAUCAGGAUGGUUGUCAAAGAGGUUUUUAUCAAAAGGCCAAGGCAGAGGUAGUUUAUUAAGAACUGGGAUCCAUUUCAUUAAUUGAGCCUAAAGGCUCAGUGAAACAGAAGAACUGAGUGUUGCAUCACUAAUGUUUCUCAUACCCCCCAGCCUCAUUUUCGUUCCCUCGAAACAUCUGCUGCACAAAUACAGGAAACUCCAUAGUCUCAGCAGAUGAACAUUCAAAUUCCCUUCUGUCGAUGGCCUUAAACUCUCUGCAGAUGGAAGGAUGAGGUUGAAUUUGUCCCAAAAAUGACAAAAACCUGAAGGGAUGAGCAUGAGCUUGAGGAUGACUCAAUAAUAGACGCAGAAUCCAGGAAGUUGCUAUCAGAUAUCUUAAUAGAUAAUGCUAGAUUGAGGAAACCACUCUAUUCUCCAAAGACGUCAUGCUGUCAGAACAGAAUGAUUGGAUCCGAGAAAGUUGAUUGGAAAGUCAUUUCACGAGAUGCUCUUUUCAUUUGAAUACUUGAAGUUGUUGACCUGACCCAUCCAUCAAUCAAUGGAAUCCCACAAGUAAAGUAAACCAUGGCAGAUAAGGAAAGAGCUGUAGUGGGAAAGGGUACAAAAAGGAACAGAAGGGAAAACAUGAAAAAAUGCACUAGAAAAGAAACACACUAAUUGGAUCCUAUUCAUGUACAAGAAAUGAGACAUCAUGGAUUUUUUUUUUAAUAUCAGAAUCUGAGAAUAGUUUGUUCAUUCAAGAUUUUGUUGAAAUAACAGCCUGGGGAAAGGACACAUAAUUUAGCACUAAAAAAUAGUACAAUGGGGACCCAAAUUCAUUAAUCGCUGCUCCAACUUGAUUGCAGGAAUCAUCACCCUGUUUGCUCAAGCAUCAUCUUCUCAAUCUCAGCCUAAGMAGAAGCAAUAUCGCCCCGCCCCACCU